rnacentral:rRNA from 1 species
UGGGGAAUCUUGGACAAUGGGCGAAAGCCUGAUCCAGCAAUGCCGCGUGCAGGAAGAAGGCCUUCGGGUUGUAAACUGCUUUUGUACGGAACGAAAAGGCUCUUUCUAAUAAAGAGGGCCCAUGACGGUACCGUAAGAAUAAGCACCGGCUAACUACGUGCCAGCAGCCGCGGUAAUACGUAGGGUGCGAGCGUUAAUCGGAAUUACUGGGCGUAAAGCGUGCGCAGGCGGUUCUAUAAGACAGAUGUGAAAUCCCCGGGCUCAACCUGGGAAUGGCAUUUGUGACUGUAGAGCUAGAGUACGGUAGAGGGGGAUGGAAUUCCGCGUGUAGCAGUGAAAUGCGUAGAUAUGCGGAGGAACACCGAUGGCGAAGGCAAUCCCCUGGACCUGUACUGACGCUCAUGCACGAAAGCGUGGGGAGCAAACAGGAUUAGAUACCCCCGUAGUCCCUGAGCGGGCUGGCAAGGCGCAU